GUGCGUAUAGCUCAGUGGUAGAGCGCGUGCUCAGCAUGUACAAGGCCCUGGGUUCAACUCCCAGUACCUCCA
rnacentral:tRNA from 1 species